rnacentral:tRNA from 3 species
CUUAGCCCAGCUGGAUAGAGCAUCGGAUUUCUAAUCCGCAGGUCGCAGGUUCGAAUCCUGCAGG